rnacentral:rRNA from 1 species
UACAGAGGGUGCAAGCGUUAAUCGGAAUUACUGGGCGUAAAGCGCAUGUAGGUGGUUUGGCAAGUUGGAUGUGAAAGCCCUGGGCUUAACCUGGGAACUGCAUUCAAAACUAUCAAGCUAGAGUAGAGUAGAGGGAAGUGGAAUUUCCGGUGUAGCGGUGAAAUGCGUAGAUAUCGAGAGGAACACCUGCGGCGAAGGCGGGUUGCUGGGCUGACACUGACGCUGAUGCGCGAAAGCUAGGGGAGCGAACGGG